UACGAAGGGGGCUAGCGUUGCUCGGAAUCACUGGGCGUAAAGCGCACGUAGGCGGAUUGCUAAGUCAGGGGUGAAAUCCUGGAGCUCAACUCCAGAACUGCCUUUGAUACUGGCGACCUUGAGUCCGGGAGAGGUGAGUGGAACUGCGAGUGUAGAGGUGAAAUUCGUAGAUAUUCGCAAGAACACCAGUGGCGAAGGCGCUCACUGGCCCGGUACUGACGCUGAGGUGCGAAAG
rnacentral:rRNA from 1 species